CCUACGGGUGGCAGCAGUGGGGCAUAUUGGACAAUGGGGGGAACCCUGAUCCAGCGACGCCGCGUGAGUGAAGAAGUAUUUCGGUAUGUAAAGCUCUAUCAGCAGGGAAGAAAGAAAUGAUGGUACCUGACUAAGAAGCCCCGGCUAACUACGUGCCAGCAGCCGCGGUAAUACGUAGGGGGCAAGCGUUAUCCGGAUUUACUGGGUGUAAAGGGAGCGUAGACGGCGAUGCAAGUCUGAAGUGAAAGGCGGGGGCUCAACCCCUGGACUGCUUUGGAAACUGUAUGGCUGGAGUGCAGGAGAGGUAAGUGGAAUUCCUAGUGUAGCGGUGAAAUGCGUAGAUAUUAGGAGGAACACCAGUGGCGAAGGCGGCUUACUGGACUGUAACUGACGUUGAGGCUCGAAAGCGUGGGGAGCAAACAGGAUUAGAUACCCCAGUAGUC
rnacentral:rRNA from 1 species